UCACUCCGCCGUCCAUAGCAACGCCGUUGCUAAGGACGACGUUUUCGCGGGCGGCGGGCUGAAAUUUCAUCCGAGUUGUUGACAGCCGAUUACAUCACCAGUUUCGGCCUCUGCGUCAAGAUGGCGAUCAUCCUAGGCUUCACCGACUGUAAAAUUGGUGAAAGUCAUGCCCAACAGGAUUGUCACCAGCAGGAUACCAGGAUGUUAUAUUUAGCUUGAGAUUAUGGAUAUAUAUAUAAGAUGUAUUAUGUACAGAGAUCUUAAUUCCCAUUUAUUUUGUUUAUUGUAAUGUUAAUACAAUUUGGGAGCGUAUUUAAUAUUCGAUUCAGCAUCCAAUGUCUACUCUAACUUUCAAGCAUGUGUUAAGUUAUAUAUGUACUGUAAAAGAUCCACAAUGUAAUGAGACUUUGAUAUCACAAGUAUUUGAUAUCCCAAUCCACAACAAAAUGUACUACUUCGUUAUUUGGUAAUGAGAUAAAUGUUAAAGCAACCUUAAUGGCUCUUUGGUAAUUUUGUGUAUAAUUGAUUAAUCAAUAUAAAGGACAAUUAACAUGUAUGUGAGAGAGAUAUGUUUAGGGAUUUCCCAAGGCCCAGCACUUUUAGAAAUAAACAAGUGCUACUCUGUAAAACUAGG